rnacentral:misc_RNA from 1 species
AACGCACCUUGCACCCUUUGGUAUUCCGAAGGGUACGCCCGUUUGAGUGUCAUUGUAAACUUCAUUUGCACUUCCCCAGGCCCUGUCUGGUAGUGGUGGAUCUGGGUCCUGUCGUGUAACGACUGGCCUGAAAGAUAUAAGGGUCGCCUCUGACAGAGAUGAACACCGAGUGUCAUGCCUCCUCGGUGCCACACAUGUGGAAUCUAAUGUCUGUGUGGGUAGUACUCCCUCUCAAAAGUCCAUAUGCGCAGUGCAUAAGGCUGUUACUGACAAUUUGACCUCAAAUCGGGUGGGACUACCCGCUGAACUUAA